AGUUCUGUGAAAGAGAUCAGAGAGUGAAAGAAAGAUGGCCGGGGAUUCAAGCCUGCUGGCUGCAGUCUCUCUUCUCUCUGCCUGUCAGCAAAAGAAGCUGCCAAAUAGAGAAGUGGCUUCCCCGGGGGAAGGCUCUGUGAUUGAGUGGUCCUCGGUGGUGGAGGAAGUAUCCCCUUGUACUGUCCCUAGCACACAAACAUCCCCCCAGCCCCAGGAAAGAGGAAAGGU
rnacentral:lncRNA from 1 species